GCGCGCCCUCCUCACCAACGGUCCCACUGGUCUUCACUAACCGCAGAGCUGAGGCCAGUGCAGGCUCCUCUGCCUCCUACCGCCCAGGGCAAGCUUAGGAGGUGUCCUAAACCUGCCUAAAUUGCCAGGGCAACUGUGAGGCAAUGCACAGAAGCUCACUCGGCCACAGGGUGAUACAGUGGACCCACGCAGAGCCAAGGAAGCUGCACAGGGACAAGGGCUGAUGAUAUUGAAAGUUCAUAUGGAUCAGGUGAUUUCACUGUGAAAGGCUUCCUCCACAGACUGAGCAUCAUCAAUGACUGGGCAAAAUUCCACUGGGCUCUUCUAGACUUUUUCCAAGGACUAUUUCUGGAAACAAACUUCAACAUUCCCAGGUUUCAAGCUUUGAGUAUUUCUGCAUUGACAGUUGCAACCGAUUAAUUCCAUUGGAUGGUUUCUUGUUCUGAAGUUAAAAUUUCAAAGUAUCUGAUCCUGGCUUAAUGUCACUCAAGAACUUACAAAAGCAAAGUUAAAACCUGCCCUUCUAACAAACUGCUUAUUUAGGCUUUUGUGAAAUAUACUUUUAUUUAAUUCCAACGGAGCAAGCAUUUUCUGUUUACCUGACCCUAUUCCUUGAAUGGUCUCAUUUCUCUUAACCAGAAUCCUGUGAAGCAAAUAGUCCUGUUCUUACCACCUGGCAGAUAAGGAGUUAUGAGGAUCUCAGUUAAGUAACUUACCCAGUGUUGCACAGCUAGGGAGUAGCAAAGACAGGAUUGAAAGUCGGGUUCUCUGCUGCUGACUGUGCAUUCUUACACAAUAUAACCAGCUCUUAGUUCUUUUCCUACCUAGC
rnacentral:lncRNA from 1 species